GAUGAACGCUGGCGGCGUGCCUAAUACAUGCAAGUCGAACGCUGGAGAUCUAGCUUGCUAGAUCGAAGGAGUGGCGAACGGGUGAGUAAUACAUAAGCAACCUACCCACGAAGACGGGGAUAAUCCCUGGAAACGGGGACUAAUACCGGACAGGUAAUCGGAAGGCAUCUUCUGGUUAUUAAAGGUUAAAAACACUGGUGGAUGGGCUUAUGGCGCAUUAGUUAGUUGGUGAGGUAACGGCCCACCAAGACGAUGAUGCGUAGCCGGCCUGAGAGGGUGAACGGCGACAUUGGGACUGGGACACGGCCCAGACUCCUACGGGAGGCAGCAGUAGGGAAGUUUCGGCAAUGGGGGCAACCCUGACCGAGCAACGCCGCGUGAGUGAAGACGGCCUUCGGGUUGUAAAGCUCUGUUGUAAGGGAAGAACGGGAGAUAGAGAAUAUCUAAGUGACGGUACCUUACCAGAAAGCCACGGCUAACUACGUG
rnacentral:rRNA from 1 species